CCCCAAUUAAAACGCCAAACAAGAAAUACAUAAUAAAUAAAACAAUCAGGGUUGGACAAAAUAGUGUUCUUAGUUCAUUCAGAAAAAAAAAAGAUAAUCUUAUUUUACACAUAAUCUUACUUAAUAAAUGUUUUAUUGCGUAAAAGCCCAGGAAAUGGCCAUUUGUGUAAAACAACACAGGGACUGAUUUAUAAAAAUAUAUUGAUUACAAUGAGAGCUCUCACAGAGAGAAAUCUUGUAAAGCUUGUACAUGUAAAUGCAAAACAAGCAAUUCUAGGUUAAAGUAAAGGUACCACUUUUCUACUAUUAGAGUUACUCAAACCAAAAAACUGUGUUUUCAUAAAACACUGUUUUGGUUAGAGCAGAGUAGCCCUUGCUAUGCUGGUCCACCCCUCUUUCCCUCCAUAAAACUUAAAAAAGAAAAGUAUAAUUUUACCACCAUUCUAAUGUCGAAGCCAAGUUCUCCUCUCCUGCUAUCACUCCCUCUUUGUUGUAGGGCAGUGGUCCCCAACCCAGUCCACAAGUACCCC